rnacentral:rRNA from 1 species
GACGAACGCUGGCGGCGUGCUUAACACAUGCAAGUCGAGCGGUAAGGCCCUUUCGGGGGUACGACGAGCGGCGAACGGGUGAGUAACACGUGGGUGACCUGCCCUCAGCUCUGGGAUAAGCCUGGGAAACCGGGUACUAAUACUGGAUAUGACUCCAUGACGCAUGUUGUGGGGUGGAAAGCCUUGUGCGGCUGAGGAUGGGCCCGCGGCCUAUCAGCUUGUUGGUGGGGUGANGGCCUACCAAGGCGACGACGGGUAGCCGGCCUGAGAGGGCGACCGGCCACACUGGGACUGAGACACGGCCCAGACUCCUACGGGAGGGCAGCAGUGGGGAAUCUUGCGCAAUGGGCGAAAGCCUGACGCAGCGACGCCGCGUGAGGGA